rnacentral:tRNA from 1 species
GGGAAGAAAGCAUAAUUAUGCGAUUGACUUGAAAUUAAUAGAUGGCAGAUCAAAUCUGUCUCUUCUCG